CUGCAAUCACCAGACACAAACAAUGUUAAACAAGACAGAUACGAACAACAAAAUUACUAAUAGGAUAAGAAAUACAAUUCAAGACUGUUCUAGAAAUAACAACAUAACAUAGGAGCAAGGACUUACAUUUUCUUCGAUGUAGUUUAAGCAACCAUCAUUGGGGACGAAUGCAGCAAUCUUUUUUCCAUUCUUGAUGAGUUGAACCCUAGCACACUUACGAAUAGCAGAGUUGGGCUGUUUAGCCUCAAUACCACUGAAGAUAAAACACAAUGUUAGCAUAAAAUUCUAUCAUCAUUCAAAUUUCAGGUAAAAUACAUAAAUAAAUAUAAAACAUAACCACUCUUACAUCUUUUCAAGGACAAUUCCCUUUGCGUGAGAUGACCCAGCAAAAGGUUUCUUCCAUUCAUUUCCAAGAUGAGACUUCUUGUAUGACUUGUCAGCCCAC
rnacentral:lncRNA from 1 species